UACAGAGGGGGCAAGCGUUGUUCGGAAUUACUGGGCGUAAAGGGCGCGUAGGCGGCCCACUAAGUCAGACGUGAAAUCCCCCGGCUUAACCUGGGAACUGCGUCUGAUACUGGAGGGCUUGAGUAUGGGAGAGGGAUGUAGAAUUCCAGGUGUAGCGGUGAAAUGCGUAGAUAUCUGGAGGAAUACCGGUGGCGAAGGCGGCAUCCUGGACCAUUACUGACGCUGAGGCGCGAAAGCUAGGGGAGCAAACGGG
rnacentral:rRNA from 1 species